rnacentral:lncRNA from 1 species
UUCUUUUCAUUAACCUACAUUUCUUUUGUAGUCCAUGGUCUCAGUUAUCCACAACAUAUGGAAAUUACAUUCCAAUUAUGCCUCAGUUCCCCUUAAACCUAGUUGAUUUCUUUUAUUUCUUGGUUAACUGUGUCUUUCCUUUGUAGAAGUGUAUUAAUAACCAUGUUUUUGUUUGAUCAGACUAUUUGUACAGAUAUGUGUAUGUACCUAUUCAUUUGUGAUGACGACAAUGAGAUCAGUUUUGUUUCUGUCAAAAGGUGAGGUAACUAUUUUUAAUCCUUAUGUCUGUAGUCAGUUUUGACAGCUACAAAUUUGAUAUAGAUAAUAAGUAAUCUUAGAUGCAGAGUGAAAGCUUUCAUUUCCUAUAGACUGCAAGCUACAAAAUUGUCCAUCGUAUUAUCACAAAGUAGGAGAGAGAACUAUUAUGCAAACACACCAAGACACAUUUCUAUGAUUAAAUGUUGCCAUCAUAUCAGGUUAAAUGAACCUGCAUAUAUAGUAUGCUACUCUUUUCUCUGAUUCUCAUCCUCCAGAGGGUUAAUUUCUUGUCAGGUGAUCUGAUCAGAUAGUUUUUUUUUAAUCUUAAAUGGAGUAGCCACUAGGGUUGCUUCUUGAUCUCCUAUCUUAAUAGCUCAUUUCUUUAUUUUAGAUGUCAAAACUGUUAUUUCAGCAAGUACACAUUUAAAUCACCACUAGCUAUAUAGGAGAGCUAAUUCUCACUAUCUUGACGGGGCGGCGACCAUUCGCGUGAGGCUCGGCGGCGAGAAGUGCUCCUUUUGCUGAGCGACGAGGGGUCGAAGGGCGCUCCAGAUUCGGAUCCGGGCGCGGUGGCGGCCAUGGCCGAGCUCGAGCCUGGGCGUGUGGGUGCGUUGGUGACCGUGGCGGCGGUCGUGGUCGAGCUCUGAGCACGGCGAUGGCCAUGGCCGAACUCAUCCGUCUCGUACAUGAAGAUUCAGGGGCGCCACGAGACGAGAAGAAAGGAGGAGCGAGUAGCGGAGAGGAGAGGAGCAACAGCCAUGAAGACCACUCUUUCGUUAUCUUCUCCCCUCUUCCUCGCCGCUCCACCCAGAGAUACCAACCCACCUUCGAUAACUCCCCUCCCACUGAAGUUCUUGUCGUCCGUCAUAGCACCUCUGCCCGCAUAGUGACUCUGAGCUCAAAGUGGUAGCUUCUGUUUCGUUAGGCUGCAUGGGGUUUGGGUUUGGGUUUGGGUAGCCUCUUUCUUGGGCGCAUGCUACUCAUCUGAUCGAAUUGACAGUAAAUUGGAAUCGAGUUGAAAUAUUUGUUAAAUUUGUUGCAGAAAAAAACACACAGUUGUUGUGACAUGUGCAAUUAUAUUUUGAUCCAAAUUUCUAAACAAGCAUAGGUAAGAAUACUAAUGAAAAUGUAGUUUCGCUCUUCCUAGGAUGGCGUCGAGCUGAGCAGCCUUUGAUACACCGCAUUAGGAGCCCAGGUGUUGCCUUCCUGAUAAAUCUGGCUACAACCGACCGGCAUGAGCUCGCUUUGGCCCCUCCGAUCUUGCAGCUACUGCCUCAUCGCCAACCUACAACAAAAAAGGUGAGCCUCCUGCCUUUAUAUGUUGUCACGAUUAAUAAGGUUGGAGUAGCUUUAUUAAUGGAUGAAAUCCCCUGCCUGUUCCGUUCACCACCCCAAGUGACCAUUGUUUAGCCCAUUGUUGAGGAAAUCGUUAACUGGUAGCUGCUCGGUUGGUUGACAAGUAGGGGAUUAAUAGGCUAAUCGGCCAUUUAAUCAAUUACUCGGGCGAUUAAUCAAUUAAUCGGCUACUCGGUGAACCUACGAGUAGGGAUUAAUCGGCAAGUUAACUGGUUAAUCGGAUGAAUUCUUGAACAGGGGUUUAGCCCCAAUGUCCAUCCCGCUACGUCCCAACCUCAUUUCGUCGGUUAAUUUUAUGUAUAAUAGUGUGAUAAGACAGUGAGGUAUAUGCAGAUCUAUAACAGUAUAUCAUACUUCUGAUUGUACUGUGAUAAGACAGUGAGGUGUGAUCUGGCCUUUUUGGUUCAGAUAGAUAAUUUGAUCACUUUUUUAAGUUCCUGCAUGCUGUCAUAUGCACUAUGCUUAGGAUAUUUGCUACUAAACCAAUAGUGAAAUAAACUUUUAUGUUCAUAUAUUGUUUGAUGGCUUCUCAAUUUAUGCAUGAAAACAAACUUUGCUUUUGAGUGACUCUUCAUUAUGCUCUUGUUUUAUUCACGGUUGAUGGAAUAAUGAAUGCAAAGAUAAGUUCCCUUUGAUUUGGUUGCUCGGCUGACAAGAAUAUGCAUUCCUCUGUAUACCACCUUAACUCUCCUGUGACGUUUUCUACAUUGUGGAUUCCCUCUAUUAGAUAAGGGCCAUUGCUUACUUGAACCAUUUUGUUUAUGAUUGGUUUAUUGUUAAAGUUCAAGAUACUAGGGUUGAUGCUCGAGUACAGAAAUCAUUGUAUUCCAUAUAUCUCACAACUGUUUGUAUCAGGUUCGUGUUAGGCGGUCCCUAUGAAGUGCAUCGAUAAGGCAGAUGGAUUACGUCACUUAUUAGUAUGCUUAGUGAUUAUGGCUCCAUAGUUGGCUCUGUUUAUUAUGUUCAUGUUCUUAUUACCUCCUCUUGUGUGUUCUCGCUUUCGAUAUCGAACUUCAUGUUGAAUGGCUAUAUUUUGUUGUUGUAUGAAUGCGCCGAGAUUGAUCCUACCUUAUAAACUGAUAUUGAUCUUGUGCUCCAUUGUGUUUUACUCCUAUCACAAUUGAAUGUUUGUUUA